AUUCCUAUUAACUAUUUAAAAUUAGGAUUAAUUAUAUACAUGUCCCUGCAAAUAUAAUGAAUUGUAAAUAUAUAUAUAUAUAUAUAUUCCUAUAAAGUUCAACUUUCAUAUUUUAUCCCUACCCUAAUAUUUUUAAAUAUAUUCAUGCUAUUAGGACUCGUUAGAAAAAAUUAGUUAAUCAUAGAUAAAAUACUUAACCCUAAUUAGUUAAUGAGAUGAAUUGAUCUUUUUACCCUUCUUCAAUUAACUGUUGAAACUUUUAAAGGGACAUAUUUGUGAUAGCAAAAAGGUCAUUUCACUUAUAAAAUAAACAGUGUUUUAACGAUAAUAAACUAGAUGGACAUAUUUGAAAACAUUAGGACUUUUGCAAAAGUUGAACUUUAUAGAAAUAUAUUUGUAAUUCAGUGGUUCGUUUUUUUUUCACCAUGGAAUCGGAAUCGGAAUGGGUGAAUCCGUUUGUAGGUGUUUGGUACGCGGGAGUCCCAUUCCGAUUCCGAUUCCCGAGUGGGAUAGGAAUCCCCCAAUCACCUCUUUUUUCAAUCCGGACUAGGAGGUCAGAUUGGAAGUUGAAUCCAGACGGAAUGGUUAUUUAUUUGGAUUAAAUUUAUUUUUUCAACUUUUUUAAAUUAAAAUAUGAGUUAAAAUUAAAAAUUAAAAUAUAUAAUUUUAAAUUUUAAUUUGAACUUAAAUUAAAAAUU
rnacentral:lncRNA from 1 species